rnacentral:lncRNA from 1 species
AUGCUGUUAGAGUUCAAAAUAACAAGGAAAAAUGAUGGGGAAUUUACCUGCCUUGGAACAAAGUAUGACCCCACCUGUACUCUCAGCUCCUGCUCCCCUUCCAGCGUGGCUGUGACCUGGGCUGACAAUACCGCUUGGUGUCUCUGGACCUCAUAUCUACGUGGCUGCUGCACCCGGGUCCCCAGUACGUCCUGCUCUGGCCGCCUUCCCCGAGCAGUCUCAGGGCUGGGAGGCCUGGCCAUUCCACCGGGACUGCUCACCCUGGGAGCACCAGUCUCUACCUUGGGAGGAAGCAAGCUGCCACCAGAAUAAAAGCAGGGUGGAGCUGCUCCCACUCCAAGGCAAGAGCCUGCAAGGCCCAUCCUUUGGGGACUCGUCUUUUGUGUGAAGGCACAUUGUCUAGCAGAGGAAGAGGUUGGUACCUGGUGGAGCAGGGCCAAGAUUCCAUUUUCCCCAGGCAGCUCCCUCCUCUGCCUGCUGUAGCGCUGGCCAGGACUGGGAGAGGAGGGGGAGUGUGUUCAGCACUGCUGCUGGAACGGAGUGGCCCUCUCAGGAGGAUCCCGGUUGCUUCAGGACCUUGCUUUUGCACUGGUUUGUGUCCACAAAGGAAAGGCAUGCAGAAGGCAGAACCAUCACCCCAGCCCUGCAGUCAGGAGUCCAUCAGCUUUCCCCACAGUGAACGUGGUUAAGGUCUCCUUAACCAAAGGAAAACUCAGCACCACUACAGAUGUACAGAACAGCAAUUUAUCCACUCCGACACACUUUUCCCAUUAUGUGUCCAGAAGACUCCAAGUACUGACUUUACAUGUCCACAAGCGUGGCCAAAGCCACACAUACAGAGCAACACCAAGUUUUCAAGGUGUACCAAGAGAAACAAAGAUUUAAUAACAUUAUUUCUUAGACAACUGUUGGGGAUGAAGUCAAAUGUAAAGAAAAAAUGGAAAUGUAAAAAAUCAUGGAUGUUAGUGCACACAGAUAGAGAGUUUCUGCUUUUGAGCUCCGCAGAUGUUUUUUUCUUUCCUCUUUCCCUUCUUGUGUGAGCUGCCUUUGAGUCAGUUAUGUUAUGUUGAGCUCUUGUGGGCACAGAGCGGUACUGCCGCUGUGCCCCGACCGGGGCCCUGCCCCGCUCCGCUGGGUGACGGGGGGGAGGCGGCAGCGGGAGCUACGGCAGUUCCGCGGCUGCCGAGCCUGGGGAGGGAGUGAGCGGGGCGGUGUCUGUAAAUAGCAGGGAGGGGUGAAAUAGCGUUAAGUGUGUAAAGUGACACGGCUGGGAGCAGGGACACUGCGCUAAAAGGAGCGGCGGCCGUGCAGG